rnacentral:rRNA from 1 species
CCUACGGGAGGCAGCAGUAGGGAAUCUUUCACAAUGGGCGAAAGCCUGAUGGAGCAACGCCGCGUGCAGGAUGAAGGCCUUCGGGUUGUAAACUGCUUUUAUAAGCGAGAAAUAUGAUGGUAACUUAUGAAUAAGGAUCGGCUAACUACGUGCCAGCAGCCGCGGUCAUACGUAGGAUCCGAGCAUUAUCCGGAGUGACUGGGUGUAAAGAGUUGCGUAGGUGGCAUAAUAAGUAGCUAGUGAAAUCUGGUGGCUCAACCAUUCAGACUAUUAGCUAAACUGUUAAGCUCGAGACCGUUAGGGGUAACUGGAAUUUCUAGUGUACGAGUGAAAUCCGUAGAUAUUAGAAGGAACACCAAUAGCGUAGGCAGGUUGCUGGGACGGUUCUGACACUAAGGCACGAAAGCGUAGGGAGCAAACGGGAUUAGAUACCCGAGUAGUC